UCGCCCGCCGCGCGCGGCGGGCGGGGCGGGGGCACGGGGGGCCUACGGGAGGCAGCAGUAGGGGAUAUUGGUUAAUGGGCGGAAGCCUGACCCAGCAACGCCGCGUGGAGGAAGACGGCCUUCGGGUUGUAAACUCCUUUUACGGGGGAAGAGGAAGGACGGUACCCCGAGAAUAAGUCACGGCUAACUACGUGCCAGCAGCCGCGGUAAUA
rnacentral:rRNA from 1 species